AACGAACGCUGGCGGCAGGCCUAACACAUGCAAGUCGAGCGAACCCUUCGGGGUUAGCGGCGGACGGGUUAGUAACGCGUGGGAAUAUACCCUUUGGUACGGAAUAGCCUCGGGAAACUGAGAGUAAUACCGUAUGUGCCCUUGGGGAAGAUUUAUCGCCAAAGGAUUAGCCCGCGUUGGAUUAGAUAGUUGGUGGGGUAAUGGCCUACCAAGUCUACGAUCCAUAGCUGGUUUGAGAGGAUGAUCAGCAACACUGGGACUGAGACACGGCCCAGACUCCUACGGGAGGCAGCAGUGGGGAAUCUUAGACAAUGGGCGCAAGCCUGAUCUAGCCAUGCCGCGUGGACGAUGAAGGCCUUAGGGUUGUAAAGUCCCUUUCUAGAUGGGAAGAUAAUGACGUACCAUCAGAAGAACGCCCGGCUAACUCCGUGCCAGCAGCCGUCGGUAAUGUGACUACUG
rnacentral:rRNA from 1 species